ensembl:lncRNA
ACUUCCCUUCAACUCAUUCAUGUCACCUAAAAGUCACAUCCACACCAUGAGUGCUUUGAGACUGUGGGAAGAAACCAGCGCAGAUGCAGGCAGACUGGCUGGCAGAUGUGCUCCAAAGUUAAACUCAACAACAAACAAAUGCAAGCUACAAAGGAAAGAAAAAAAUAAGGGUUCCAUUGUGAAGUCACGAGGAAAAGCUGGAAUUGUGGCAGAAGAAUCGCUGUUGGGGUAGCAGAGGACAGGUGAAGCAGUUUGACACUGUUUCAAUAGGAUAAUGUGAAUACUGUGACACGGCCGUGUAGAUCUAUGGGACAGAAAUGAGGAAACGGCUUGUUUCACGACUUUGAUGCUCCAGCUUGGAACAUAUGUGGAAAAACUGACAGAGUCAGCUGACUCAUCCUUCGCUAUAUUCUAAACAAGCGGG